CUUGUAGCUCAACUGGAUAGAGCAACGGCCUUCUAAGCCGUGGGUUGCAGGUUCGAGUCCUGCCA
rnacentral:tRNA from 1 species